UACGAAGGGUGCAAGCGUUGAUCGGAAUUACUGGGCGUAAAGGGUGCGUAGGCGGUUGUUUAAGUCUGUCGUGAAAUCCCCGGGCUCAACCUGGGAAUGGCGAUGGAUACUGGGCAGCUAGAGUGUGGCAGAGGAUGGUGGAAUUCCCGGUGUAGCGGUGAAAUGCGUAGAGAUCGGGAGGAACAUCAGUGGCGAAGGCGGCCAUCUGGGACAACACUGACGCUGAAGCACGAAAGCGUGGGGAGCAAACAGG
rnacentral:rRNA from 1 species